UACGGAGGGUGCAAACGUUGCUCGGAAUCAUUGGGCGUAAAGCGCACGUAGGCGGUCCGUUAAGUCGGGAGUGAAAGCCCUCGGCUCAACCGAGGAAGUGCUUUCGAAACUGGCGGACUUGAAUACUGGAGAGGAUCGCGGAAUUCCCGGUGUAGAGGUGAAAUUCGUAGAUAUCGGGAGGAACACCAGCGGCGAAGGCGGCGAUCUGGACAGAUAUUGACGCUGAGGUGCGAAAGCGUGGGGAGCAAACAGG
rnacentral:rRNA from 1 species